GACGAACGCUGGCGGCGUACUUAAUGCAUGCAAGUCGAGCGGGGUCCAUCCCCUGGCAACAGGGGUGAAGACCUAGCGGCGAACGGGUGCGUAACACGUGAGCAACCUGCCCCGAAGUCUGGGAUAACACCGGGAAACCGGUGCUAAUACCGGAUAUCCCCACCGGACCGCAUGGCCUGGUGAGGAAAGAUUUAUCGCUUCGGGAGGGACUCGCGGGCUAUCAGCUUGUUGGUGGGGUAACGGCCACCAAGGCAUCGACGGCUAGCUGGUCUGAGAGGACGACCAGCCACACUGGGACUGAGACACGGCCCAGACUCCUACGGGAGGCAGCAGCAGGGAAUAUUGCGCAAUGGGCGAAAGCCUGACGCAGUAACGCCGCGUGGGGA
rnacentral:rRNA from 1 species